rnacentral:rRNA from 1 species
UACGUAGGCAGCGAGCGUUGUUCGGAGUUACUGGGCGUAAAGGGUGUGUAGGCGGUUGUUUAAGUUUGGUGUGAAAUCUCCCGGCUCAACUGGGAGGGUGCGCCGAAUACUGAAUGACUAGAGUGCGGGAGAGGAAAGUGGAAUUCCUGGUGUAGCGGUGAAAUGCGUAGAUAUCGGUAGGAACACCAGUGGCGAAGGCGGGUCGCUGGCCGAGUACUGACGCUGAGGAGGCGAAACGAUGGGGACGUACGGAGGAACUGAUGAAAGACCCCUAGU